CGCCUCUUUUCUCUUCAUCUCUCUUACGCAAAAAAACAAACAACAAGGAAACAAAUCCUCCCUUUUCUUUCGAUUUUGCCUAGAACAGUAACAACAACCGCGAUUUUCUCCCUUUGCUCGCGGUCUCUCGCUCUCGGUUCUCUUUUCUCUCUUGCAAACAACCACAACUUCUUCUCACAGUGAACAACCACACUCAGCCAACAUCUCUUGGCUUCACGGCGGUCAUGGAAGAAGAUUGAAGAAGUUCACAUACCCGCGAACCCAGGUAUGAUUCUUCCUCAAAUUUCGUUUUCUUUUUGUUUUCUAAUAACAGCUCAAUGAUAACUCUCUCUCUGUUUCGAUUUUUUCUUCGGGUGAACAAUAACAACAACAUAUACCUCUUCCAUGUCGUAUGCGUCGCCUCUCUCUUGGUGGACAACAAACAGAGUUCAAUUUAUAUGUUCUUGUUCAUCACUAAUUUUUACAAGUCCAAAAGAUUCAACCAAAAAACAGACAAUUGAAGAGAUAAUUUAAGCAGUAAUAUUGAGAUUGAGAGUGGAAAUGAAUUACCUGCGGCAAGGAGAGUUUUGCCGGUUAUGGUUGAGGUAAGUGUUUUUAAUUGCUACUGUUCUGAAUUUUUGUUAUUGAUGCUGUCCCGAAUUUCUUUCUGAAGAAAUCUGCAAAUUAGCUUGUUGUUGCUGAAUUUUUUUGAACCUUUGAUGAUGGUUGCUGUGUCGGAUCGUUGGAGAUGAUGUGGGGCUGCCACUAAAAGUUUGGAGGCUUUUUUUUGAUGAAGGUGAUGCUACAACAUCUCUCUCUUUGGAUUGUGGGAGACUUGAAGAUGAAGAUCUUCAAGUGAGGUAUGAAGAACUACCUCUCCCUUCUUAGUAACUAUAGAACUUCUUGAAAAUUAUGAUAAGAAAGAGAAGUGAGAAAGCUAGUAGUAUAGUAGCUUUUGUGUCCUUUGCUUCAAAGAGAAACACUUCUAUUUAUAGGCCAAAUUUAGGGAUGUGUUAGGAAUUAGGAAACUUGAUUGGAAUGUUAUGGUCAUUGCAAGAAUAAGAAUAUAUUCUUCAUCAUUGCAAGAAUAAGAAUAUAUUCUUCAUCAUUGCAAGAAUAAGAAUAUAUUCCUUAUGUCAUUAUGCAAAGAUAUUCUCAUGAUAUAAGCCAUGUGUGUGAAUUUUUAUGUCAUUUUAUGAUAUCUCUAAGUUG